rnacentral:rRNA from 1 species
UACCAGCUCUUCGAGUGGUGUGGAUGUUUAUUGGGCCUAAAGCAUCCGUAGCUGGCUAAGUUAGUCCCCUGUUAAAUCCACCGAAUUAAUCGUUGGAUCGCGGGGGAUACUGCUUGGCUAGGGGACGAGAGAGGCAGACGGUAUUUUCGGGGUAGGGGUGAAAUCCUAUAAUCCCGGGAAGACCACCAGUGGCGAAGGCUGUCUGCUAGAACGCGCCCGACGGUGAGGGAUGAAAGCUGGGGGAGCGAACCGGAUUAGAUACCCGGGUAGUCCCAGCUGUAAACGAUGCAGGCUAGGUGUUUGGACGGCCACGUGCCGUUCUAGUGCCGCAGGGAAGCUGUUAAGCCUGCCGCCUGGGGAGUACGAUCGCAAGAUUGAA